AGAGUUUGAUCAUGGCUCAGAUUGAACGCUGGCGGCAUGCCUUACACAUGCAAGUCGAACGGCAGCACGGGGGCAACCCUGGUGGCGAGUGGCGAACGGGUGAGUAAUGCAUCGGAACGUGCCCAGUUGUGGGGGAUAACCCGGCGAAAGCCGGGCUAAUACCGCAUACGACCUACGGGUGAAAGCGGGGGACCGUAAGGCCUCGCGCUACUGGAGCGGCCGAUGUCUGAUUAGCUAGUUGGCGGGGUAAGAGCCCACCAAGGCUACGAUCAGUAGCUGGUCUGAGAGGACGACCAGCCACACUGGGACUGAGACACGGCCCAGACUCCUACGGGAGGCAGCAGUGGGGAAUUUUGGACAAUGGGCGCAAGCCUGAUCCAGCCAUGCCGCGUGCGGGAAGAAGGCCUUCGGGUUGUAAACCGCUUUUGGCAGGAACGAAACGGCGCGAGCGAAUACCUCGCGUUAAUGACGGUACCUGCAGAAUAAGCACCGGCUAACUACGUGCCAGCAGCCGCGGUA
rnacentral:rRNA from 1 species